rfam:Aphanomyces invadans strain NJM9701 unplaced genomic scaffold supercont1.34, whole genome shotgun sequence.
GUCGUUGUCGUCUAGUGGUUAGGACGCAAGCUUCACACGCUUGAGAUCGGGGGUUCGAUCCCCCCCAUCGAUA